rnacentral:rRNA from 1 species
UUAAGCCUACGGGACGCAGCAGUGGGGAAUAUUGGGCAAUGGGCGCAAGCCUGACCCAGCAACGCCGCGUGAAGGAAGAAGGCUUUCGGGUUGUAAACUUCUUUUCUCAGGGACGAAGAAAGUGACGGUACCUGAGGAAUAAGCCACGGCUAACUACGUGCCAGCAGCCGCGGUAAUACGUAGGUGGCAAGCGUUGUCCGGAUUUACUGGGUGUAAAGGGCGUGCAGCCGGGCUGACAAGUCAGAUGUGAAAUCCCGCGGCUCAACCGCGGAACUGCAUUUGAAACUGUCAGUCUUGAGUACCGG